rnacentral:misc_RNA from 1 species
GAUGAAGAACGCAGCGAAAUGCGAUAAGUAAUGUGAAUUGCAGAAUUCAGUGAAUCAUCGAGUCUUUGAACGCACAUUGCGCCCCCUGGUAUUCCGGGGGGCAUGCCUGUCCGAGCGUCAUUGCUGCCCUCAAGCACGGCUUGUGUGUUGGGCCCCCGUCCCCGGUUUCCCCCGGGGACGGGCCCGAAAGGCAGCGGCGGCACCGCGUCCGGUCCUCGAGCGUAUGGGGCUUUGUCACCCGCUCUGUAGGCCCGGCCGGCGCCAGCCAACACCCAACUUUAUUUCUAAGGUUGACCUCGGAUCAGGUAGGGAUACCCGCUGAACUUAAGCAUAUCAAUAAGCGGAGGA